rnacentral:rRNA from 1 species
AGCAGCCGCGGUAAUUCCAGCUCCAAUAGCGUAUAUUAAAGUUGUUGCAGUUAAAAAGCUCGUAGUUGAAUUUCGGGAUUAGUGCGCCGGUCGUGCCUUCGGUAUGUACUGGUGUUACUGGUUCCUACCUUCUGACGAACCGUCAUGUCAUUAAUUUGGUGUGGCGGGGAAUCAGGACUGUUACUUUGAAAAAAUUAGAGUGUUUAAAGCAGGCUCGCGCUUGAAUACAUUAGCAUGGAAUAAUGAAAUAGGACGUUCGAUCUUAUUUUGUUGGUUUCUAGGAUUGACGUAAUGAUUAAUAGGGAUAGUUGGGGGCAUUAGUAUUCAAUUGUCAGAGGUGAAAUUCUUGGAUUUAU